UACGGAAGGCAGCAGGGGGAAUAUUGCACAAUGGGCGCAAGCCUGAUGCAGCCAUGCCGCGUGUAUGAAGAAGGCCUUCGGGUUGUAAAGUACUUUCAGCGGGGAGGAAGGCGAUGUGGUUAAUAACCGCGUCGAUUGACGUUACCCGCAGAAGAAGCACCGGCUAACUCCGUGCCAGCAGCCGCGGUAAUACGGAGGGUGCAAGCGUUAAUCGGAAUUACUGGGCGUAAAGCGCACGCAGGCGGUCUGUUAAGUCAGAUGUGAAAUCCCCGGGCUUAACCUGGGAACUGCAUUUUGAAACUGGCAGGCUUGAGUCUCGUAGAGGGGGUAGAAUUCCAGGUGUAGCGGUGAAAUGCGUAGAGAUCUGGAGGAAUACCGGUGGCGAAGGCGGCCCCUGGGACGAAGACUGACGCUCAGGUGCGAAAGCGUGGGGAGCAAACAGGGAUUAGAUACC
rnacentral:rRNA from 1 species